rnacentral:rRNA from 1 species
ACACCGGCAGCUCUAGUGGUAGCUGUUUUUAUUGGGCCUAAAGCGUUCGUAGCCGGUUUGAUAAGUCACUGGUGAAAUCCUGUAGCUUAACUGUGGGAAUUGCUGGUGAUACUGUUGAACUUGAGGUCGGGAGAGGUUAGCGGUACUCCCAGGGUAGAGGUGAAAUUCUGUAAUCCUGGGAGGACCACCUGUGGCGAAGGCGGCUAACUGGAACGAACCUGACGGCGAGGGACGAAAGCUAGGGGCGCGAACCGGAUUAGAUACCCGGGUAGUCCUAGCCGUAAACGAUGCGGACUUGGUGUUGGGAUGGCUUUGAGCCGCUCCGGUGCCGAAGGGAAGCUGUUAAGUCCGCCGCCUGGGAAGUACGGUCGCAAGACUGAAACUUAAAGGAAUUGGCGGGG